GAUGCAAUUUUUGUAUCUGAUAUCAUUUGCGACAUUCUCUAUGGUGUGACUGUUAAAAAUGCAUGUUCUCAGUUUAUUGAAAAUUUCUUUUUUUUGCCUAAUUUUAUCUUAGGAUGUAUUUGACUAACUAGUCAUGAUUAGUGCUUCUUGUAAGUGUUAUUUAAACAAAACUGUUCGAACAAGCACAAAUUAGAGCAUGUGUUUUUGUCGGAUAUGCGGCUGUUCUAUAUUGGAGUUGAGAAAUUUGUUGGUGUUGAGAAACUAUUUACAAGUCGGCGCUUAGUAAAAUGAUUUUAUUUAGUUAUUUUAUAUAUAUUUGUGAACUAGAAGUAGUUUGUGAUGUUUUUUUUU
rnacentral:lncRNA from 1 species